rnacentral:rRNA from 1 species
AUGUGGGCUUCAUGCAUCAUUUACUAUCCUGCAGAAUACAUCGCUUUUAUUAUGUUGAUACGUCUGAUUCGGUGGACUAGCAUAGCAAAUGUAAAUGUGAAUGUGAAGGUGGAUUCCAUCAAAUUGUCUGUGCAGGUUAGUGUUGUCCCUGAUGCUUUAUACAGACAACGUGUUCAAAUAUCUUUCAUUGGACAGACCUCUGACGUGAUCAUAUUGCUAUUUUCAUCUUUUGGAUUUGCAUAUAAUGUUGACACCACAUGUGAAUCUGAAGCCACUUGUGCUAAGCAUUCCCUGGUUUGCCAGCUUGUGUGUUUCACUAAUGGAGAAGGUAUGAAUCUGUUUCUUUAA